AAUGGGAACGUUUUAUUCGGUGGUGAAAAAAAAUUAUGUAAUAUACUCCAGCACGCUUCCGGUGCUCACUCUAGGAAACGGAUUUAUUUCCCAAGUAAAGUUUGUCUCUUCAACGGGGUCGGAACAAGGCUGUGGCUAGCAAGUUCCUGACACCCGAGGGCCAGUGUGUCUCGGAAGCCAGCGAGGGGCGGAGACCCGGCCGGGGGAGGGGAGAAGCUGGGCCAGGGCCGGAGGCGAGGAGGGGCGGGGUAGGAGGGAGACCCGGUCAUCUGUCCCUUCCCCCACCGGUCCUCUUAGGGGUGGUGGAGAUGUGGGCCGCACAGCUGCGUGGCCGGGGCUGUGCGGAUUCCCUAAACGCCGCACUUGCGCACAGCCCCUUACGUAACUGUCAGCGCCGGGGAUUCCCUAGAGGGGGUCAUUCUAUUCAACCAUUACACACACCCCGGGUUCCUGCCGCCGCCGCCGCCUCACAAAAUGGCGGCGCCCAUAGAGGAGACAGCGGCCGCCUCCUCGGCCCCAUUUUGUGGGAGGCGAGAGAUCUGUCAACAUGGAAUACCUCCGCUGAGGAUGCGUCCGAGUUUGGAAGUCCUCCUUCAGGGAUGGAGCCGAGGGGAUCUCGUUCGACAGAAAAUGUCAGCGACUUCUAGCACCUCCACGCUUUUUUACUUUUUUUUCAUUUUCUCGAAGGAAGCGCCAGAAGCCGCCGGGGUAAAUGUAACUAAAGGGAGAAGGGAAAGCUGCGGCUGACUGCUCCAAGGACUUGCCGCGGCGUCUUGGUGGCUUGGCGGCUAUUCCACGCUCCGGGCAGCUGCCCGCGGUCUCGCGGAGGGUCGCCUGGGCCGCCCGGCCCGCUGCGAGGGGACGGGGACCGGGCGAUGCGGAGCGGCAGUGGCAGCCUCGGCCGCGCCACUUGUGCAGCGAGACUUUAGGGUAGUUUUUAAAUGCCAGAGGCCACGGCCCCGUCGCUAGGCCGCGUCUCAGUCGGGGGCUUUGGGAACCCCGGAGGCCCCUGCUGCGGGAACGCGCGGUCGGCCGGAGCCCGGGAGCCGGGUUGGCCGCAGCGGGCGGUACUCGCGGAUUCCCGCAGCCCCGGCGCACCGGGCGGUCGCGGCCCGGACCCGGGCGCUGGCUGGUGUUGAAGGGCCGGAGUGGGAACGGAGGCUCGUACACUGAAAUUUAAGUCGUCCGAGUCGGGACCCAGGAUUGUAAACAAUGUCUCAGGUUAGACGUUAGCACGUCUUUUCUAGUGUCCCACUCUGCAGCGGGCAAACGUGGUUGCCUUAUUUCUAAUUCGAAGGGCAGAGUGGAGGGGUGGCAUUUUAUAUUUUUAAUCUUCAAAGGGAGGUUACCACUUUUAAGCCGCUGACUGCUUGCUCUUAAUGUGUUUGUGUGUAAUAUACACACAUGGAUAUGUUACAAUAGUGUGUUUUGCUUUUCAGUACAAGUAUCAAGGCUAAUGACCUGGAGUGUGAUACUAACGUUUUAAUGCCUUUUUAAAAAAUUUAAGAUGUGACAUGUAACUGGAGAAUUGACUCUGAAAAAAAAUUCCUUUUCUGCAGAAGAAGCUGUCGUCUUCAAAAUGGAGUCGUAAAGUAUAUCUGAUGAAUAGAAUUUAAAUUCAUAACACUUUGAAUAUGCUCUAGUCAAAGAAAAAAACAGAAAAUUUGAUGUUUAUCAGAAUACUACUUGGUUCAACUUCUCCAAGACUAGAAGAAUGUAAGGCAGAAUGCAGAAUUCCAUCUUUCUGCAGGCUGCGCCUCAGUCACUAAGUUCCACGCCCCGUCCCUUGCCGCACCCGGUUGCUACUCCUGGCGUGUGGAUGACCAAGAUACAGUUUCUGGUCCUGUCUGUUCCUACUGAUGUUCUUUAUAUUUAAUAAAUUUGGUUACCACUAA